rnacentral:lncRNA from 1 species
AUAAUACCAGCUUCAACCCAAGAGGAGUAUGGAAAGACCUCUGAUAUUCCCCCCAGGACACUUGCUGGCUUUGUGAUCUUGGGUAGAUCACGAUCUCUGAUUCUUGUUCUUCCCAGCUGCAAAAUGGGGAUAAUAUUGUCUCCCUAUCCAUAUCACAGAUGGUUAUGAAGAUUCAAAAAGGUGCAGCCUGAUAACACCUUCCCUCAGGCCUGCAGGGUUGUACCACUUGCUUCUUGACCUGAGUCUUCUCUGAUGUGGGAUGUUUCCAUAACUACGAAGUGAAAGUAGAGAAGGGGUUUCACCGUGGUCUCAAUCUCCUGACCUCGUGAUCUGCCCGCCUGGCCUCCCAAAGUGCUGGGAUUACAAGCGUGACCCACCGCGCCCCGCCUGGAAAACUUUCAGUGAUCACCCAAGGUGGGAGGAGAGCGAGAUGGCAGAAGUGACCGGGCUCUCUCUCCAUUGAUUACACUCUCCAGCAGCAUGGCUGUUUUCCCCAGGAUGGCAGGUGGCACAAGCGUUUUGCUACUCAGCAGGAGGUGUUGGCUUGAUGCUCAGGACCUCUGUGACACCAGCGGG